GGGUGAAGGUCAUCCCAGAGCUCAGCAUUGAAACCAGCCGGAAAUUGUUCAGUUGGGGGAACUAGGGGAAAGGGAACAGUGGUGUGGAGGGCAGAGGCAGUGGUGGGAAGCCUGUGUGUGGCCGACGCAUGCUUUUACGCUGUCAUCACGGCCUUGCUUUCUAUAGCAGGGAUCUGAGAAGCAGGCAGGCAGCUGCUCUGCCCGAGACUGUCAGGAGUUGGUGGAUGUGAAUCCAUGUCUGAAGCCCAAGCUCUCACUACUCUGCUGUCUCCCUGAGGGGUGCAUGAAGGCCCCAGCCCAGCCAGUGACACAGAGGUUGGGAAGACCAGGGCGUGAAGCUUCUGUGCUUGGAGAACAGGAGGGCUUGUGGAGCUGUGGUUGAUGGCGUGUCCAGGAAGCCUGGCCAGGCUGGGGUCUGGCAACAGCCUCACCACGAUGGCAUGGCGGUGGGCCCGGCCUCUACCCGCUGCGCCACAGCUCCUGGCUCCUGGCUCCAGGUCAUCUCUGCCCACAGCCAGUGUCUCUGCUGGACUCCUCCCCCUUCUCCCAUUCCCUGGCUGGGCUCCUCUUCCUUGGGACCCUCAUAGCUUGAUGAGAAGACAGUGCCCUCUUGGCCAGACCAGGACAUUAUUUGACAGUAGAGAAACUGGAGUGUAGACAAACACCAUGGAUGCUGUGUGGAAGAGUUGUUCCCAGCUGAAGAUGUCCCUCCUCAGUGAAGCCCUGCCUGAGCGUCUCCGGUCCUUCUCAGCAGCCAGAGGCUUCUCAGCACUUCUGCGUUCCCAUCUGGGUGGGAACUGCAUGGCCUGUUUAAGCACAAGGAGGGGGAGUGUGGGGAAGGGGGAGCAGAGUGAGUGGGGAGGUCAGAAAGGCAGGCACUGGUUCAUGUAGGGUGGUUGAUACAGUUUGGAUGUUUGUCCUCUCCAAAUCUCAUACUGAAAUCUGACCCUCAAUGCUGGAGGUGGGACCUGGUGGGAGGUGCUUGGGUGACAUGGGCCAAUCCCUCAUGAAUGGCCUGGUGCCCUCCCUGUGGUAAUGAAUUCCCAUGAGAUCUGAUUGUUAGAAAGAGCCUAGGUAGCUCCUCUCUCUUGCUCCAUCUGUCACUGUGGGACACCUCUGCUACCCUUCCCCUCCCACCAGGAGGGUAAGCUUCCUGAGGCCCUGACCCCAAGCAGAUGCUGCUGCCAUGCCUCC
rnacentral:lncRNA from 1 species